AUACGGAUGGUGCGAGCGUUGUUCGGAAUUACUGGGCGUAAAGGGCGCGUAGGCGGCGAUGUAAGUCAAAUGUGAAAGUCCUCGGCUUAACCGGGGAAGUGCAUCUGAAACUGCAUUGCUUGAGUAUGGGAGAGGAAAGUGGAAUUCCCGGUGUAGAGGUGAAAUUCGUAGAGAUCGGGAGGAAUACCGGUGGCGAAGGCGACUUUCUGGACCAAUACUGACGCUGAGGCGCGAAAGCGUGGGGAGCAAACAGGAUUAGAAACCCGAGUAGUCC
rnacentral:rRNA from 1 species